rnacentral:lncRNA from 1 species
UGAAAGCGAGCAGUUUGUUAUCUUUAUUGAUGACUGAUGAUGUGAUUACAUAUACUAUAUAUAGAAGCCAUUAGAGAGGUAUCUAUACAUACGCCUGUCCGGUUAACCGAAGCAACAGUUGCCAAAGGAACUGCAAGCAGAGUCCGCUUCCGUUAGGCCAAAUGGGGCUUGCAGGACCAUUUACAGAAAUACACGAUGAUUACCAGGCGCAUAUCUCAACUCAUUGCCACAACUGAGUUCCUCAUUAAGAGCUACGAUCAAGAAUCCUCCGAUGAACAAAGCCUAGGGAGUUCCUAGCAAGGAAUUCACGUCUCAAAGGUAAUAUCACUACAAAACAGGCCAAUCACAAGGAAUGACGGACGCCCAGAGUCAAACAACAAGUCAAAACUUCAAGCACUUGAACAAAAUAUCCAACGUCUCAAAUCUUCUAUCAAGAAGUCAUGGAACAUCAUGAACAGUAGAUAACAAUAAGCUAAAGCAAGACUUCCCAAUAUGCUCUCAGCAGAUAUGUAUUAAAUUCUAACUGAUUGAAACAACAGACAGGGGGUUUAG